rnacentral:rRNA from 1 species
UACGUAGGGAGCAAGCGUUGUUCGGAUUUACUGGGCGUAAAGCGCACGUAGGCGGAUUGUUAAGUCGGGGGUGAAAUCCUGGAGCUCAACUCCAGAACUGCCUUCGAUACUGGCGAUCUAGAGUCCGGGAGAGGUGAGUGGAACUGCGAGUGUAGAGGUGAAAUUCGUAGAUAUUCGCAAGAACACCAGUGGCGAAGGCGGCUCACUGGCCCGGUACUGACGCUGAGGUGCGAAAGCGUGGGGAGCAAACAGG